rnacentral:tRNA from 1 species
UCCCUGGUGAUCCAGUGGUUAGGCCACUGCACUUUCACGGCAGGGGACACGGGUUCAAUUCCUGAUCUGGGAA